UGGGGAAUUUUGGACAAUGGGCGCAAGCCUGAUCCAGCCAUGCCGCGUGAGUGAAGAAGGCCUUCGGGUUGUAAAGCUCUUUCGGACGGGAAGAAAUGGCGGGCUCUAACAUAGCCUGUCGAUGACGGUACCGUAAGAAGAAGCACCGGCUAACUACGUGCCAGCAGCCGCGGUAAUACGUAGGGUGCGAGCGUUAAUCGGAAUUACUGGGCGUAAAGCGCACGUAGAUGGCUUCGUAAGUCGGAUGUGAAAUCCCCGGGCUCAACCUGGGAACUGCAUUCGAAACUGCGUUGCUCGAGUGUGGAAGAGGGCAGCGGAAUUCCAGGUGUAGCGGUGAAAUGCGUAGAUAUCUGGAAGAACACCAGUUGCGAAGGCGGUCUCUUGGUCCGACACUGACGCUGAGGCGCGAAAGCGUGGGGAGCAAACA
rnacentral:rRNA from 1 species